CACGUAGGGGGCAAGCGUUGUCCGGAUUUACUGGGCGUAAAGGGUGCGUAGGCGGUCUAUUAAGUAUGGGGUGAAAUCUCUGGGCUCAACCUGGAAAUUGCCUUGUAGACUGUGAGACUAGAGUGAGGUAGAGGUGAGUGGAAUUCCCGGUGUAGCGGUGACAUGCACAGAUAUCGGGAGGAAUACCAAUGGCGAAGGCAGCUCACUGGACCUUUCCUGACGCUAAGGCGCGAAAGCGUGGUUAGCAAACAGG
rnacentral:rRNA from 1 species